rnacentral:antisense_RNA from 1 species
UUCCAUGGCGGACCGUGCGAGGAGGCUUCGGCCUGCCGGUUGUCUUGUGACGGUAUUCCUACCCUGGCACGGUCCGCCUCUCCC